rnacentral:misc_RNA from 1 species
UAGCCAACAUUCUACUCUAUCCCUCGUCGGGCCCUUGUGGCCACCUGGCGGGAUGGGAGGGAAAUAAAAGAUAGAGACGCGGAGUUAGUUAACAAGCUCUCCUCCUGUUCUUCUUCCUCCUCCUCCUCUUCCUACCCCAGCCAGAGAGGUAAACCAUCUCCAAAGAAAUAAGGAAGGAAGGAUGGCGAGUAAUUUGAAAGUGCAUAUGCUUCGGCUUAUUCCUGGACAAGAGGUGAAGGAGGCGCUGGAGGAGUACGUGCGCCGCCAUGCUCCCAGGGGCGUCUUCGUUAUGACCUGCUGCGGCUCCGUCACCUCCGCCACACUCCGCCUCGCUGCUAACACCAACGGGGAGACCAACAAGAUCAAGACCUACAACCAGCACUUCGAGGUCCUGAGCCUGUCUGGGACGCUGAGCAAGGGCGGCACACACCUGCACAUCUGUCUGAGCGACAAUGAAGGAGGCACCGUGGGAGGGCACGUGAUGGGCGGCCUGCGGGUCUUCACCACUAUGGAGGUCGCCCUUGGUGAGCCCCUUGACCUGACCCUUGACCGUGCCUUCGACGACUCCACUGGCUUCCCGGAGCUCACCAUCACUAGGGAUGCAGAAGAUAGCGCUUCUCAACACCAGCAGAAGGAGGGUAGCGCUUAGACCAGUAGGAGGGUAGUGCUUAGAUCAGUAGGAGGGUAGUGCUUUUCAACACCAGCAGAAGGAGUCUAGCGCUUCUCAACACCAGCAGAAGGAGUCUAGCGCUUCUCAACACCAGCAGAAGGAGUCUAGCGCUUCUCAACACCAGCAGAAGGAGUCUAGCGCUUGUCAACACCAGCAGAAGGAGUCUAGCGCUUCUCAACACCAGCAGAAGGAGUCUAGCGCUUCUCAACACCAGCAGAAGGAGUCUAGCGCUUCUCAACACCAGCAGAAGGAGUCUAGCGCUUCUCAACACCAGCAGAAGGAGUGUAGCGCUUGUCAACACCAGCAGAAGGAGUGUAGCGCUUCUCAACACCAGCAGAAGGAGUCUAGCGCUUGUCAACACCAGCAGAAGGAGUCUAGCGCUUGUCAACACCAACAGAAGGAGUGUAGCGCUUCUCAACACCAGCAGAAGGAGUGUAUGCCAAGAAAUUCAGGUGAUGGAUUGCUGAGGACUCGUUUAUCAGAUUAAUCAGUGAAAGAAGGAAAUGACUGGAGUUGAUGGUGAAAGCUGAAGUGCACUCAGAUAUUCAGAAAAAAAGAAAGAAAGAAAAAAGAUGAUAGAAACAGGAAAACAUGAGGAAUAGAUAAAUUGGUAAAUGGUAAAUCAUAAUGAGCAAAAAAGUGAUAAAUGGCAAAACUUAAUGCAUAGAUAAGCUGAUAAAUGGUGAAACAUGAUGAUAUUGGUGAGAGAUAAAAACACAAUGAGUAAAAUAGUUGAUAAAUGGUUAAAACAAUGAGUACAAAAGUUGAUAAAUGGUAAAAACACAAUGAGUAAAUAGAACGAUAAAUUAAUAAAGUGAAGGUGUAAUUUAGAGUGAGGUGAAUAGUGGAAGUAAUUUAUUGUGCACAGUAACCCAAUAGAAUCUGGAGAUACACAGCAUUGAAAACACCUAAAGCGUAAUAACGAGCAUGCCUUAACCAGAGAUCAGGGGAAAAAAAAAUCUCUUAGCUUACGACACAGAACAGCCAUUUACUCAUCCAUCCAUCCAUCCAUGUAUAGUGCCACCCAUUUAAACCUUCCCUCCUUUUCCAAUACCGGAGAGAAAAUAAAAUAAAUAAAAGAACUCAGUAAGCUUAA